CCUACGGGAGGCAGCAGUGAGGAAUAUUGGUCAAUGGGCGGAAGCCUGAACCAGCCAAGUAGCGUGCGGGAUGAAGGCCUUCGGGUUGUAAAGAUCUGUUGACAGGGACGAAUAAGCCAUGCGAAUAGUUUGGUGUAUGACGGUACCUGUUUAGAAAGCUCCGGCUAACUACGUGCCAGCAGCCGCGGUAAUACGUAGGGAGCAAGCGUUGUCCGGAAUUACUGGGCGUAAAGGGCGCGUAGGUGGGUGCUUAAGUCAGGUGUGAAAACUCUGGGCUCAACCUGGAGACUGCACUUGAAACUGGGUAUCUUGAGGGCAGGAGAGGAAAGUGGAAUUCCUAGUGGAGCGGUGAAAUGCGUAGAUAUUAGGAGGAACACCAGUGGCGAAGGCGACUUUCUGGACUGUACCUGACGCUGAGGCGCGAAAGCGUGGGUAGCGAACGGGAUUAGAUACCCGAGUAGUC
rnacentral:rRNA from 1 species